AUGGAGGUAGAGCACUGAAUGGGCUAGGGGCUGACAACAGUUACUGAACCCUAUCAAACUCCGAAUGCCAUUUACUUCUAUCCCGGCAGUCAGACUACGAGUGAUAAGAUCCGUAGUCAAAAGGGAAAGAGCCCAGACCAUCAGCUAAGGUCCCAAAGUGUAAGUUAAGUGGUAAAGGAUGUGGGAUUUCUAAGACAACUAGGAUGUUGGCUUAGAAGCAGCCACUCAUUUAAAGAGUGCGUAAUAGCUCACUAGUCGAGAGAUCCUGCGCCGAAGAUGUCCGGGGCUAAAACUUACCACCGAAGCUAUGGAUGUGUCGUAAGACACGUGGUAGAGGAGCUUUCUAUACAGGUUGAAGCCAUACCGUAAGGAGUGGUGGACAGUAUAGAAGUGAGAAUGCUGGCAUAAGUAGCGAGAAACAGGUGAGAAUCCUGUUGGCCGAAUAUCUAAGGUUUCCUGGGGAAGGCUCGUCCUCCCAGGGUUAGUCGGGACCUAAGCCGAGGCCGAAAGGCGUAGGUGAUGGACAACUGGUUGAUAUUCCAGUACCACCACAAUGCGUUUGACAAAUGGGAUGACGCAGAAGGAUAGGAUGUGCGCACUACUGGAUGUGCGUCUAAGCACUUAGGAUGUUG
rnacentral:ncRNA from 1 species